CCCGUCACACCAUGGGAGCCAGUUGUACCGGAAGUCAGUGACUCAACCCGCAAGGGAGAUAGCUGCCCAUGGUAUGGCUGGUGACUGGGGUG
rnacentral:rRNA from 1 species